rfam:Lutispora thermophila DSM 19022 genome assembly, contig: EJ66DRAFT_scaffold00020.20
CGCUGAAGGCAUCUAAGCGCGAAGCCGACUCCAAGAUGAGAUUUCCCAUACCGUUAAGGUAGUAAGACCCCAUGUAGACUACGUGGUAGAUAGGUCGGAGGUGUAAGUACAGUGAUGUAUUUAGCUGACCGAUACUAAUAGGUCGAGGGCUUGAUCUA